UACCAGCACCCCGAGUGGUCGGGACGAUUAUUGGGCCUAAAGCAUCCGUAGCCGGUCCUGCAAGUCUUCCGUUAAAUCCAGCUGCUCAACAGAUGGGCUGCGGGGGAUACUACAGGGCUAGGAGGCGGGAGAGGCAAGCGGUACUUUAUGGGUAGGGGUAAAAUCCGUUGAUCCAUAGAAGACCACCAGUGGCGAAGGCGGCUUGCCAGAACGCGCUCGACGGUGAGGGAUGAAAGCUGGGGGAGCAGACCGG
rnacentral:rRNA from 1 species